AUGACUCAGGAAUCCGAAUUCCAAAUUGGCCUAAAAAGAAAACGCAGUUUUCCUUCUUUAAGUAUUCUAUUUUAUCAUAUUACUAUCAGGACAACCGCCAUCCUUGAAGCCCUGGAAACAAGCCACAUACACGUGCAUUUGAAAUCCCGUGGGCUGGAGGGUGAGGGGUGUGUGUGUGGGGGGGAGGGGGGUGGGUGUGACCCGUGCCAGGGGAGGAGAGGCCAAGCAGAGGAAAGCCAGCCUGGCGACAACCCACAACUCCGAGGCUCUGCCACACUUCGAGGGAGAGCUGAGAGUCUGCACGCCGGGACCUUCCCUUCCUGCCGAUCGAGGGCUCUGCCCUUCUUGGGGCAACCAAGCCCGAGGCUGGGGGCCCGGUUCUCGGCUCGGCCGGGGGCGCCAGGGGGCGCCGAAUCGCGGGGGGAACCGGGCCCCGGGGUGGGAAGGGGCGCCCGGGAGGGCGGGUCCGUACCUGCCUCUCCUCGGCGGCCUGCUCCUCCGCCUCCGCCGGCGCCGCCUCGGGCUCGUCCGGCGGCGCGGGGUCCAGCGGCCCCUCGGGCGCGGCCGCCGGCUCCGCGGCGCAGGGUCCGGGCGGCGCGGGCUUCACGCUGGCCUCAACCGGAGGCGCGGGCUCUGGGGGCGCGGGCUCCGGGGGGUCCGGGCUCGCGGCCGCCCCGCGCCUCACCAGCAGCCAGGCGAGCAGCAGGGCCAGCGCAGUGGCCAGCGCGGGCAGUGCGGCCAGCAGCUCGGCCGGCGCCUCCAUCGCGCCGCGGCCACCCGAGUGCCCGCCCGCGGGGACCCCGAGGGAGCCCGCCUCGCCCCGCCCGCGCCCCGCCCCGGGGCGGAGUCCCCGCCGCGCCACGCCCCCGGCCCGCCUCCGACCUCCCCGAGCCCCCGGUGACUCAAGAUGCUGGGGACAAGAGCCCUUUGGGAAGCGCUCUUGAGACCCAGGUGUCACCUUCAACAUCACGGCACUACGGACCUCAGAGGCACCUACCAUUGUGCGACACUGGCCACCUCGGGCUGAUGGUAAAGCCUUUAGUGACCUCCCUCAUCUCCACAGACCCAGAUGUCCUGGGUCCCUGA
rnacentral:lncRNA from 1 species